CCCUUAGAUGUUCUGGGCCGCACGCGCGCUACACUGACGAAUGCAACGAGCUUAUAACCUUGGCCGAAAGGUCUGGGUAAUCUCCAAAUUUCGUCGUGAUGGGGAUAGAUUAUUGCAAUUAUUAAUCUUCAACGAGGAAUGCCUAGUAAGCGCAAGUCAUCAGCUUGCAUUGAUUACGUCCCUGCCCUUUGUACACACCGCCCGUCGCACCUACCGAUUGAAUGGUCCGGUGAAAUCUCGGGACGGCGGCUUGGUCGCUUGCGUCCGACUGCUGAAACUUGAUUAAACCAUAUCAUUUAGAGGAAGGUGAANUCGUAACA
rnacentral:rRNA from 1 species